AAGAGUUAAAAACAGAGUAAGGUGAAGAUGUAGAAUCGAGUAUGACACAAUGAAAAUAUGGAGUGGGAGACAAAAGAUGUUUAGGAUUGUCAGCUCAAGGGAAAAAAAAAAAAAAAAAAAAAAAAAACCUCACUCGACCCACACCCCUUAUCCUCUCCCUAUCCCUUUCUCUUUUACCACACAAAAUCUUAUCCUCCCUCUACAUCUCUCACUCGAUUUCUUUCACAAACUUCUCACCUUUUUCUCUCAUCCCUCUCACUCGAUUCUCCAUCUCUCGCCUCCUCAC
rnacentral:lncRNA from 1 species